GGCCACACUACAAGUCCCAGAAGUCCCCGGGGCGGAAAUGAAUUUCCAGCUAAACGCAAGUUGGGGCCCCGGGGGCGCGGCCGGGACUGCGCGGUCGCAGGGUUUCGAGGUAGAGAGUGGAAGAGCAGCCGGUCGCGGGCUAGGGCCUGGAGAGGAUUACUCGGGUCGAACGCUCUCUGAGGUCUUUCGUGUUCUGGACUAUACUUUCCAGAGGCCUCCGGGCGUAACGUCCCUUCCUUCUAAGGUGGUAAGCCCCGUUGUGCUGGAGCAAGCUGCACAGCGCCCCGGCGGAAGAAGCUUGGCCAGUGGGUUCGUUCCGGUCCCGCGGGACGUGAGCCUGACGCCGGGUAAGCUGAAGGUGACCAGAGACUGAGGGAAGAGCCGCUGUUGGACAACUGAGAGUUUUAUCCAAGGUAUUUUGCUGGUUGUUGGAAAGUUUCAGAAAAUAAUUAAUAUACUGUUAUAGGGUUUUUCAAGCUAUGGGGUUGUUACCUGAUUUUUGUGUGUGGUAAAUCAGUUUACUAAGCCCUGAUGACAAUUUCCCUAACUCUUCAUUGUAAAAAAUUCAAACCUGUACAAAAACAGACAAAACAGGAAUGUACGUCUAUGCACCACUUUGCUCAGCUACAGUAAUAACUGACUCAUCUUGUUUAAUCUGUACCUCUACCUACCUAGGAUUAUUUUGAAGCACAUCCCAGAAGUUGUAUCGUUCCAUCCAUAAAUGUGUAUAUAAAUGAUAGUCUUUUAAAAACUUAAACACCAUUGUUCUCCCUAAAAAAAUAAAUAAUAUUUCCUUAAUAUCGGAUUUCCA
rnacentral:lncRNA from 1 species